GUAAUUCCUUAAAAUUCAAACAAAUUAAAUCUAACAAUGUAUAAAAUUGGCAAUAUAUGUUAGUUGGAAUUUAAUCCCAGGACAGCAAAGACUGCUUAACAUUUAAAAUAAUGUAAAAUUAAAAAAAAACAGUGAGAUAAAACAAAAACCUGUUCCUUUCCAUAGAUGCAUGUAAGAUCUCUCACAGACUAGACAUAAACCACUUUAAUAAACAAUCUGACAAUUUCUUAUAAACAGACAUCUAUUCAUUCCACACAGAUAUCUGCCCUAAAGAAACAAAAGCAGGACCAGUGAAAAUGACUCGGAACAUGAAGGCACCUGCUACCAAGUUGACAACCAGAGUACACUCCAGGACCCACAUGCUGGAAGGGAGAGAACCACACCUGCUAAUUCACCUCUGACCUCCAAAUAUAAUAUGCUAAGGCACAUAUGCACACCCCCACACAAAAAUAAAUUAAAGUAUAAUUUUUUAAAAUUGAAAAGCAUUUGACUAUGGAAAGAUCUAUAUAUAAAUGUUCAUAAAAGUUUAAUAUGUAAUUGGUAAAAUACGAAAACAACUUGUAUUUCAAACAACAGAUACACAAACAGAUUAACAAUAGAAACCACUUAACAAUAAAAGCAGUGACUCUUUUUUAUGGGAACAAUAUGGGUAAAUCUCAAAGUAAGUAUGCUGUGUGAAAAAGGCUGAACCAAAAUGAAAGGAGUAGGAGAUAGGUGCAUGAAUGCAUUCACACAAAAUUCUAGAAAAUAUGAAUUAUUCUAUAAUGACAGAAAACCUGAGAACAGGGGAUGGGAAGGAGGAAGGUUUACAAAAGCACAGGUCCCUUUCUUUAUAUUGAUGAUCUCUUGAGAAUAAGUGAAAAUUGGCAAGAUACUAUUAUAAGCUUUAAUUAAAUGUAAUUUAGUUUACCUCAACAAAAGUCAACAGGCUAGCAUGGUGAGAUAUUAUUAACUGUAAUCCCAGCUACUCAGUGGAAUGAUGGAGAGUUUAAAACCAGCCUGGGCAGUUUACCAUAAGACUGCCUCAAAAUAAAGCUUAACAAGAAACUGGGUGUGCAGAUCAGUAGUGGAAUGCUCAACUAGGAUACAUGAAGCCCUAAGCUCCAUUCCUAGUCAAAACAAAACACCUUAAAUGUUCGGUUUUGUGUUGUUUUCCUACAAAUGUAAAAGGAAGAUUAAAAAAACAAAAACAAAAACAAUGCAUGCACGAUGACAGGAGAGAUGGGCAGUCAUUGAGAGCUCUUAGUCCACCUUUCAAAGGACCCAGGUUUGAUCCCCAGGAAGCACAGGACAGCUCAUAAUCAUCUGUAACUACGAUCCUAGGGGAUUUGAUACCCUCUUUUAGGUUCUGUGGGCACCAGGGACUCAUUUGGUACACACACACACACACAUAUUUGUAGGCAAAACACAUACAUACAUUUAAAAAAAAAAAAAAAAAGAGGCUAAGGCAGCUGGAUCUGAGUUCAGGAACCACCAGGGCUACAAUGAGACCAUUUCAAAACAUAACAAAACAGUAGGCUUACUCAACUCAAAACAAAGAGUGAUCAUGACUACAAUCAAUCAAUAAAACACUAAAAUACUAGUUUAAGAACUUUUUUCUACACCAGCAACAGCCUUGUGAACCUUGCAUUUCCCACUCUUGACACAACAUCAACUGUCCAUAGAGAAAAGUGGGUGGACUUAUAUACCAUGAAGACUGAUGUAGGUGCUCUCUACAAUGUUCACACCACAGCAAAAUCUCCUAGGACACAAUUCUUAGCAGACCUUGAAAGAACAAUGUUCAACUUUAUAAGGAAAAACGAAAACCCAGGAUAG